rnacentral:rRNA from 1 species
UACGAAGGGGGCGAGCGUUGUUCGGAAUUACUGGGCGUAAAGGGCGCGCAGGCGGCCCUUGAAGUCAGGCGUGAAAGCCCCGGGCUCAACCUGGGAGGUGCGCUUGAUACUCGAGGGCUUGAGUGCGGGAGAGGAGAGUGGAAUUCCCAGUGUAGAGGUGAAAUGCGUAGAUAUCUGGAGGAACACCGGUGGCGAAGGCGGCAUCCUGGACCGGCAUUGACGCUGAGGCGCGAAAGCCAGGGGAGCAAACGGG